rnacentral:pre_miRNA from 1 species
UCUUAUGGAUAAGCAAAGAAAGUAGUUUCCUGAUAUAGAAUCUAAUCCUGAUAAAGAUGCUGUGAA